rnacentral:lncRNA from 1 species
CUCACUUGAAUAGUCUGGAAUAUAGCAGUAUAAGCAGAUCAAAGGAUUUUUUAAUCUUAAGAUAUAGUAGAAGUAUUUUAUAAUAUUUCCCGCUGUUUAACUGAAAAAGCAACAUUGUACUAGGUCAGAUCAUCAAGGAUCAUUUUUAAAGCUGAUCCAACAUUUGGAAACAAACUUCCCAGGCAGUCCUCUCACUUUGUCACUUCCACAUGACUUUCCCAGGCACCUGGAUUCUGUCAGGAGCAAAAACAACAGAUGCCAUAAUCUUCAUCUGCAGGUUUCCCAGCCAGAAUGCUGAAUCCAAGGCAACUUCUUGUCUUGCCACAGCAGGUUUUUGUCUGCAGUGUGCUUCCUUCUGAUCCAUGGUUCUGCAGGCAUUGUGAGAUGGAGGACUGAGCCUUUGUUCCAGUGGUAGCAGAUAGCACUGCUAUUUGAUGCUUCCACCCUGAAGCACCACCCAGCUGGCUUGGGGACCCCUGCUACAAGGGACAAACUGAGCUCUGCAUCAGGCACUGCUGCUGCACAGGUUUAGCACAAGUUCUUGUCUGCCUUUGUGGGCCUUGGUGCUGUGACUGCACGAUAGGCAUGCUCUAGAGCUACUGCCGUGCCUGCCGUCCGACCAGAAUCUGUCUAAAGGCAGUGGAUCUUGGAUUUCACAUCAACAGUAGAGGUCUAAAAGUGUCAUUGUAUCCUGCACAGUGUAUCCAAACUGUGAUCUUGUGGAAUGGACUCAUAAACCAAGACUUUAUGAUACUUGCACUGAGUGCAGUGUAAAAGCAUAUUGUGUUCAUCCUUUUCUUUCUAUGUCUAAUGGUUGUCCUUGAAACCUUGCAGGAGGUGUUGUUAUCUAACUGAAAUACAUUGCUAUGAGAGCUUGCUACGCUGCACUGGGCUCUUUAGAAAGCUUUUACCAUUUCAUAAUUUAAAUGUAUGUUUGUCCCUCUUUAAUUGAAAAGUUGUUAGGAGUGAAAGGCUUGUGUGUCUGAAUUGCUUGAAGGCUGCUUUGACUUUUGGUUGCCGAGGAAACCAUUUUAAUGUAGAACUGUAUUCCAAUAACUUCAAAGUCUCUGUUCUGUUAUGGUUUGUGUGUUCCUUGGGAUGAGAGCUGUUUCAGUGGGAAGCUGUUUCAAAGUAGCUUAGUUCGAUCUGGGUUUGGCAUAUCUAAAAAGUGCUGAUGGGGCUUCAAAGUUCAGCUGGCAUUGUAAUUUCUAGGCCAGUUCUAUGUUCCGUAUGGAUCCAUGACUGGACCCAACACCACCACUGCUGAUUUGUGACUUUGGAAUACAUGCACCAUCAUGUUACCCAGUAUUCUGACUGAUAUCCUCAACUUCUUUUAUUACUCUUUUGCCUGUUCAUGCA